GUGUAGGUCAGAUUCUACAAAAUGUGUAGUGGGAUCAUUUACAGUUUUUUACCAAAUUAAAGCCAAAAAGCAACAUGGACUAUUGUUCAGGGUUUCUUGUUAUCCUUUUGAUCACACAUAAAUAUCCCUCAGGAUUCUGUGCUGGGCUCUCUUCUCUUCUUUCUCUGUACUACUUCACUGGAAUGGAGAAGACCAAAAGAAGAGGCCAAUGACCAAAGCCCCUUCUGCAGGAUUAUAUAGUCUCAGAACAAAGAAAAUCCUAUAGCCUCUCUACUCUUCAGCAUCAUCUUGCUUUGGACAUCAUGAGCAAAAGAGCCACCAAAUAAAGCAAAGAGGAAGUAAUUAAAAGAAAUGGGG
rnacentral:lncRNA from 1 species